GCGCCGAUGGUGUAAGGCGAACAUCGCUGCCCGGAAAGCAGAAGAUGCGGGUUCGACCCCGCCUGGCGCA
rnacentral:tRNA from 1 species